AACGAACGCUGGCGGCAGGCUUAACACAUGCAAGUCGAGCGCCCGGCCAGGGGAGCGUCAGUCGGGCGAGUGACGAGUGGGAACGUACCCUUAUCUUCGGGAGAGCUUCGGGUAACUGGAAUUAAUACCGAAUGUGCCUUUUGGGGGAAAGACUUAUCGGAUAAGGAUCGGCCCGCGUUGGCUUAGCUCGUUGGUGGGGUAAAGGCCUACCAAGGCGACGAUCCAUAGCUGGUCUGAGAGGAUGAUCAGCCACAUUGGGCCUGAGACACGGCCCAAACUCCUACGGGAGGCAGCAGUGGGUAAUAUAGGACAAUGGGCGCAAGCCUGAUCCAGCCAUGCCGGGUAAGUCAUGAAGGCCUUAGGGUUGUGAAGCUCUUUCACCCGAGGAGAUAAUGACGGUAUCCGGAGAAGAAGCCCCGGCUAACUUCGUG
rnacentral:rRNA from 1 species